UUUCACCCCCACCACAGACACCAAGACACCCAGUGGAUGGUACAGUAUGUUUGUGCAAUGAACAUGUUGCAAAUUCACAGAUUAACACUUCCUCACACUGAUUUUUGUCUGAUUUUGUCUCUUGAUUCUAGCUGAGGUUGUAAGACUGUUUGCCCCCUAUGCUGGUGGGAGAGGACCAGCAAGGAGAUCUAUCAUUGUGUCCCAACAGCUGCACUCAAACACGCACAGGUUUUGUUGUCUGGAGGACAAACAUAUGGAGUUAGUCCCUAAACGGUCUGUGAAGCAAAUGCUUGAAGCAGCAAGGUUGGGGGGGAAAAGCGUCUCACCUUUCAAGGAAGUCAUACAAGUCCAGAAGAGUUUAAAGACUUCAUAUUAUCCUCAUUCCCAAAACUCAGAGACGGUGGUGGAUUUGAGCUCCUUAAGAUAGCUGGCAGUACUCGGAGUCGGCAGCUGAUGGUGAUCCAUGUCCAAACAGUGGCUACACUGUUCAAUAUUUAAACAAUCCCCAAAGUCAGAUCGGGAACGCUACCAUUUUCAUCAGGCCACUCCAGAGGAACCUUAUUCCACUCCUUUAUCUCAAACAGAGAGCAACAUUGAACCACCGGAGAAAUGUGUGCAGUGAGGGGAGGAGUUCCCUUUUUCUACAAUAAAAAAUCACAACGAUGAAUGCACAAGGUAUUGCACAACAAAGACUGUUGCAGAGCAGUGAUGAGGUACGAAUGGCGGUAACCGAAGAAGAUUCCCACCAACAGGACGUCAGACAGCAAGGCCCAUCAACACUAGAGAUACCUCAGGGACCUGCUGCUACUCCAGAGAUUGUUGAUCUAGUUUCCAUUGAAGAGAGAGGCUCUGCUGGUCUGGUCCAUUGAAAUUACACAUUUCAUGCUUUAUUUCAGUAGUUUGUUGCUCCCUACAGUGCGUGGAAGUAAUUAGUAAUUUUCUAUAUUCUAAACUGCUUAUAGGUUGGAAAAUUGAGGCAGCAAAGAGAUUCAAAGAAGGGCUGUUGGGUCAGCAUGAAACUGAAAUACUUCAAGUAUCGUCUUGGAUCUUGGAGACAAUGCAGAGGAAAGGGAAAAUAUGAAUGAAUAGUUUAUUUCAAACAACAAUAUAUAUUUAUAGAAAUGGUUUAAGAGCAAUGGCACCACCUGCUCUGUCUGUGUGUCCAAGCGUUGUGUUGUGUGACACUGAGCUCUGAUAAAAUAAAGCUUUAGGUACUGUAUCUCUAUUAUCUUUAAGGGCAUUGACAGAACAUGUUGCCUCAGUAAUCCCAUAUUAAUUUCACACAUAAAAUCUUGAUGAAUCACAUUUCAGGUCAACACAAUCCCGGUUCACAUAUUUAAUAUA